rnacentral:rRNA from 1 species
CCUACGGGUGGCAGCAGUGAGGAAUAUUGGUCAAUGGACGAGAGUCUGAACCAGCCAAGUAGCGUGAAGGAUGACUGCCCUACGGGUUGUAAACUUCUUUUAUAUGGGAAUAAAAUGUUCCACGUGUGGGAUUUUGUAUGUACCAUAUGAAUAAGGAUCGGCUAACUCCGUGCCAGCAGCCGCGGUAAUACGGAGGAUCCGAGCGUUAUCCGGAUUUAUUGGGUUUAAGGGGUGCGUAGGUGGUUUGUUAAGUCAGUUGUGAAAGUGUGCGGCUCAACCGUAAAAUUGCAGUUGAUACUGGCAGUCUGGAGUACAGUAGAGGUAGGCGGAAUUCGUGGUGUAGCGGUGAAAUGCUUAGAUAUCACGAAGAACUCCGAUUGCGAAGGCAGCUCCCUGGACUGCAACUGACACUGAGGCUCGAAAGUGUGGGUAUCAAACAGGAUUAGAUACCCUAGUAGUC